CAUGCCUUGACAUCCCACGAACCUGCCUGAAAGGGCGGGGUGCCCGCAAGGGAGCGUGGAGACAGGUGGUGCAUGGCUGUCGUCAGCUCGUGUCGUGAGAUGUUGGGUUAAGUCCCGCAACGAGCGCAACCCUCACCCCUAGUUGCCACCGGGUAAUGACGAGCACUCGAGGGGAACUGCCAGCGUCAAGCUGGAGGAAGGCGGGGAUGACGUCAAGUCAUCAUGCCCCUUACGUCCUGGGCUACACACGUCUACAAUGGCCAGUACAAAGGGAUGCGAGACCGCGAGGUGGAGCUAACCCAAAAAGCUGGCCUAAGAUUCAGAUUGCAGUCUGCAACUCGACUGCAUGAAGGAGGAAUCGCUAGUAAUCGCGCAUCAGCCCGGCGCGGUGAAUACGUUCCCGGGCCUUGUACACACCGCCCGUCACACCACGAAAGCUUACUGUACUCGAAGUCGCUCUA
rnacentral:rRNA from 1 species